CCUACGGGCGGCUGCAGUGGGGAAUAUUGGACAAUGGGCGAAAGCCUGAUCCAGCCAUGCCGCGUGUGUGAAGAAGGCCUUCGGGUUGUAAAGCACUUUCAGUGGGGAAGAAAGCCUUGGGGCUAAUACCCUCGAGGAAGGACAUCACCCACAGAAGAAGCACCGGCUAACUCCGUGCCAGCAGCCGCGGUAAUACGGAGGGUGCGAGCGUUAAUCGGAAUUACUGGGCGUAAAGCGCGCGUAGGCGGUCUGAUAAGCCGGUUGUGAAAGCCCCGGGCUCAACCUGGGAACGGCAUCCGGAACUGUCAGGCUAGAGUGCAGGAGAGGAAGGUAGAAUUCCCGGUGUAGCGGUGAAAUGCGUAGAGAUCGGGAGGAAUACCAGUGGCGAAGGCGGCCUUCUGGACUGACACUGACGCUGAGGUGCGAAAGCGUGGGUAGCAAUCAGGAUUAGAUACCCCAGUAGUC
rnacentral:rRNA from 1 species